GGUUGUGGCUCAGUGGUAGAACUUGCCUAGCAUGUGCGAGGCCCUGGGUUCGAUCCUCAGCACCA
rnacentral:tRNA from 1 species